UUAUAAGCAUUACACAUGACUCUCUAUUUAUUCUUAUCGAUUUAUAUCCUAUUAACAAUAGUUUCAUCUUGAGAUGCCAUUUCUGCCGAUAUCAACGAGAGCACUAAGGAUCCCCUCUAAAAUAUGAAUACAUUAUAGUUCAGUUCAUAUUUUAUAGUUUGCAGUAUACAAUAUUCAGUUUACAAUUUCACAGUACUUGUCGCUUUGCCACGUCUGGCUAAAGUUGUAUCCAUGGGUAGGGUUCACCACAGUCACACGACAAAAGGAUAUACACACACACACCCCUCGGUG
rnacentral:lncRNA from 1 species